rnacentral:rRNA from 1 species
GAUGAACGCUGGCGGCGUGCCUAAUACAUGCAAGUCGAGCGAACAGAUAAGGAGCUUGCUCCUUUGACGUUAGCGGCGGACGGGUGAGUAACACGUGGAUAACCUACCUAUAAGACUGGGAUAACUUCGGGAAACCGGAGCUAAUACCGGAUAACAUAUUGAACCGCAUGGUUCAAUAGUGAAAGGCGGCUUUGCUGUCACUUAUAGAUGGAUCCGCGCCGUAUUAGCUAGUUGGUAAGGUAACGGCUUACCAAGGCAACGAUACGUAGCCGACCUGAGAGGAGGAUCGGCCACACUGGAACUGAGACACGGUACAGACUCCUACGGGAGGCAGCAGUGGGGAAUAUUGGACAAUGGGCGCAAGCCUGAUCCAGCCAUACCGCGUGAGUGAAGAAGGCAUUCGGGUUGUAAAGCCCUUUUGUUGGGAAAGAAAAGAAGCAGGUUAAUACCCCGCUGUUCUGACGGUACCUAAAGAAUAAGCACCGGCUAACUUCGUG